GAUGUUUUUGAUGUUAAUCCUUUUGUCAAUCGUCUACUAGGCAUGAGUGACUUGUUUGGAUUUAUGAACAAGACUCGGGAAGUUGCUCCUAAACUUGAAACCAGACAGAGCUUUUGCAAAAGUUUUCAGAAGGGACCUUCACGUUGAGGAUUAUGUAUGAGCAGUUUCACAACUUGCUUUAGAUGAGUUCACUUAGCCAGCUUACUUCAAUGUAAUGAUAAGGAAAGCCAGGCCAAAAUCAAGCGGUACAUGAUCAUGAUGGACUCGUCAACAAAUGAAAGAGUCGGACAGCCCAAAUACAAAAAUCUUUUCCGAGUUCCAUAUACGAAGUUCUGGUCGUCUGGAUGUUCACCCUGAUAAUGAAUUUGCGAAGGCAUAAGACUAGAUCUUAUCCCUCCACAUAAGAUAAUGGUAACAUUUGCCAGUGUUGUCACAUUUUUUUUCGGUAUCGUCACACUUUCUAGUAUGGUCACAUUUUUAAG